CCCGUGUACCAGACAAGGAACUAACCUCCUAACUUAGCCUCCUUGAGUUCUUUCAAUUGGGUGUGUGCAUGUUUGCAUGUGUACAAGUAUACUAGUCUGUGUGCUUGUAUUCAAGUCCUAUGUGUUUGUGUGUGCCUAGCGGUUGUAGUUACCGGGCAGAAGAGUGUGUGCCAAGGAUCUUUCAUGUGCAGUCGCACUACGAGCGGCACAAGGAGCAAUAGCAACAUUUUGAAAGAUGGCACAAUGUUGCUUCUAAUUUUCAUUGUUAGGAGGAUUUUUGUACAAACACUGAAUCAUUUUCCGAUGACUUCACCCUGAUAUGGCUUGGUAGUAGGCUUCUUUUUUUUAAAAUCCAGUCUGUGAACUGCUCUCCAAUAGGAACGCAACCACUAGGGGCGUAGGUUUUCACUUUACAUAGGGAGGUGCUAAUGUUCAUGAUUGUUCAUGACGCAGAACAGAUAAAAACGAAAGUAAGGUUUUAACAGAGAAUGACUGCAUGCAAGAACGUGUCCAUCGUUUUUCUAUGAGGGGAUGAGUGUGGAACUGUGACUAAAACCUCAACAUCCAAAUCUCAUCCAUAUGCUUGAUAUAAGGGAGGAUAUCAGUCAGUUCCCAGCUGUGUGUCUAUGAAGAGUGACUGGUCCAUGGCAGACCCGCCCAAUUUCAGCAGUGGGUCACCACAGUCUGAUCCCAAACCACAGACACAUAGACCAGUGUCUCCAGUGCCCAGCUGUGUGUCUAUGAAGAGUGACCGGUCCAUGGGACACCCUCUCAAUUUCAGCAGUGGACCACCACAGUCUGAUCCAAAGUGAGU